GGCCCUUUGAACCGGGCGUGGGAUUGGCCGUCGCCUGCCCACCCCGCGGCUGCAGCGUUCCCUGGGGCCUAGCCAACCGCGGGCAGGGCUGGGCAAGGCGGGAGGAGCGCGGACCCAAGAUCGGCUACGCUGCGUCUGCUCAGGCUGCGAGUUCCCGGCUCUGGGGACUCACCUUGCGGAGCUUACCCAGGCGGACUCUCCGCAGCCCCUGAUGGGUGUGUGUGUCAGACCGUUUACUAAACACCAGGACUGUUGUAGGCGACUGUAAGAAAUAAGAAUAUUGCAUGGUUACAAUUCUUGAAUGCUUACCUUGUGUCUUGUUCCUUACUCUACAGAAAUUUUCUAAUCCCGUGGCGAACCCCCGUACUUCAACGUAUGACAUUCUGUAAAUCUACAAAACAGAUGGGUCCCUGCCUUUGAGAAGUUUUUACAAUUUAGUGGAAAAGAAAACUGAGAUCCAGGAAAGGGAAGUGAUUUUCCAAAGACACACCUGUGAAAGGUGAGGAGAACAGCCCAGUGAGGCUGAGGCCACACAAUUAACCCCAGUCUUUGCACUACAACUCUACCAGGGAUCCUGGUUUGGCUCAUUUUCUUUCUUCUGCACCAUGAUUGUUCACCUUUUCAUUACCAGCAACAUACCCAAAGACCUAGCUAUAGACUCGUUGGAAUCUGUUACUUAGCAGCUGUGUGAAUCAAGUGUUCAAUAGGAAUAAUAAGAUGUAUUCAUCUUACCUUUUCAGAACAUUAUGAAGAACAAAUGUGGUAAGACAUAUGAAAAUGCUUUGUAAAGUGUUAGAUGCUUAAUACACAGAAGACAUUGCUUCCAGAUCUGUUUCAACGUACCCCAAGAAUGGAAUAAGUGGAAUAUGCUGGUUUCAUGCACUGUGGCAAGGGGGUCUCAUCUUGGCUAGACUUGAAUAAGUGGAUUUGUUGCCUGGCCUCUGUGGAUGGCUCUUUCUCUGGGCUUUUGUGUAUUUGAUUUUUUAUUUGCUCCAGCAGCCGUGUUGAACCAUGAAAGGACCUCAGGAAUGAAACCCACACACAGCAAAGCAACAAAGUGAAAGAAGCGUGGAUUCCUAAUGCAGGAGGCACUGAACCAAUCAAUACCCACUGCCCUCCAGACCUCCACAUGAAAGAAAAAAACUGCUGUCCUGUGAAGAAGACACUCCCCAGAUGCCAGCAACUUGAUAUUGGACUUCCUGCCUUUAGAAACAUUCCUUUAAGCCUCUCUGAAACUUGACCCUCUGGCAGGAACAGGUGCCAUUACAUACAGACACUCUCUCUCUUCCAAAUUCACCCUGUCAUAUCAAAGGGAAAACUGAAGUGGUCCACUGUAGACCUGACAGAUGAUCACAAACAGGAAACCAGCAAUCAGAAGUGCCUACUGAGCUCCCUACCCUGACCAUCACCUACAGCUACAUUUUACAGAUACAAAAUCAUUGUUUGUUCAACUUUCAUAUCAAAGGAUGCUAUUAGUUCAUUUCCAAAGGUGGGAAAAUGUUUCAACUUACUUUAUUACUUGUCUGCUACUUACUAUUUUCCCUCCGUUUGCCUGCCUGACUUCUUUUAACUCUUCACUCAACAAAUAUCUACUGACUACUGAGCACUUGCCAAGUGCUAGGCCAGAGCUGGAUGCUGUACUACGGGCAGAUGAAGUGCUAUGGGCAUCCAGAGGUGGAAGAAGAGGGUAUAGCGAAAGGGGAGAAAAGGCUGCAACAAUAUUCACUGAGCCCUGUGCUCCCAGGUCAUCACAUAGACUAUGUCAUUAUUCCUCCUAACCACCCACAUGAGUAAAUAGGGGCUAUUACUGAAGAAACAGAGGCUUACAAAGGUUGAGCAACUUGCCCAAGGUCAUCUAUCACAAGACACUACAAGUCAGACUGCUGAAGAGGGAGUUUCUGCUGAGAAGCUGAAGUGGGCAGCUCAUAUUGGAUAUGAAGGCUUCAAAGGAAUCUAAAUCCUAAUGAUCCCUCUAGAGCCAACAUGCAGCACCAGUUUUCUCUUCCACAUUUGAACUGCUCAUCCACUUCCGGCUCCAAGACCUCACUCUCCAUCUAAACUAGUCCCACGCCAUCCAUAUCUUUCUCCACUAACGCCACCCAAUCACAACCCCACAGCCUCUUAGUCAUGAGUCAUUUUUUAAAAACUGCAAACCAUGUAAUGAGCCAUGGCAAUAUGCAACCCUAAACCUCAACACGUGUUUUCCACAACAAGGCCACAGGUGGCAGAAGCGAGCCUAAGGCCGUAGGACACUAAGGCAGGACUCUCUGGCUUGAGCUUUCCAAAAAGGGAGGUGAGAGAAGGUCUACCUGCGGGAAGUCAUGCUGAAGGCCUGAGGCUGAGUCAAAGAAGGAGCCCCCUGGAGGCUCUGCAGUUCCUGGACUUCAGGUAGAGGAACUCUGCCAUGAACACCUCUGGAAUCGUGUCAUUUUGGGACAAUUAGAGAAUAUCAGUUUUCAGACUGAGUUCUAUGGGAAGGUGCCUGCACAACAAAGGAGAGACGGAAUGGACUUCAGGUCUUCCAAAAUACCCCUCAUGUUCACCAAGUUGCUCUCUGCUCUAAGAUACCAGAUGAGGGGGCCAGUGGGGACUGAAACCCAGUCCCCAGUCUGCUGGCCAAUCCCUUUGCCUGUGAGGCUGCUCUGUCCUACCAGAGAGGGCACUUUUCAUAAUUUGCACCAAGUACAGAAUAGGAUAGUGUAGCUUUACCCUUCUCCCUACCAUCAACCACAGACACAUCAACACAUGCACACAUACAGCCACACAAAUAUACCUACAGGCAUACACAUACAACACAGGCACAUACAUGUUUGCACAAAGUCACAUGUAGACACAAACGCAGAGCACACAGACACAAACACAGGCACAAACCCAUACUUACACUACACACACACACAAACACACACAGACACACAAAUGCAAAUUAAGCCACAAUGUAGCACAUAGAGAUAUAGACACAGACGCAAAUACAGUCACAUAGAGAUAUAGACACACACUUAUACACACAUAUAUGUAAAUAUACAGUCUCAUUCACUUUAUACCACACAUGUAUAAACAUACACAAUUGUAUGUAGACACACAUACACAUAGGUACUCAGACCGCAUAGAUACAUAUGUACACACAUACAAAUAUAUGCACAUACACAGAUAUAUAUAUACACACAUGCAUCUUUAACCAGAACAACUUUACUUUUGUCAGUUUUAUAUGACAGAGUCUUUAAAAAAAGAUUUCAUCUGGCUUGUGUUCUACUAUUAAAAGA
rnacentral:lncRNA from 10 species